ACGGAAGGCAGCAGUGGGGAAUAUUGGGCAAUGGGGGCAACCCUGACCCAGCAACGCCGCGUGAAGGAAGAAGGCUUUCGGGUUGUAAACUUCUUUUGCCAGGGACGAAGAACGUGACGGUACCUGGAGAAAAGGCCACGGCUAACUACGUGCCAGCAGCCGCGGUAAUACGUAGGUGGCAAGCGUUGUCCGGAUUUACUGGGUGUAAAGGGCGUGUAGGCGGAGCAGCAAGUCAGAUGUGAAAUCUCCGGGCUUAACCCGGAAACUGCAUUUGAAACUGUUGCCCUUGAGUAUCGGAGAGGCAGGCGGAAUUCCUAGUGUAGCGGUGAAAUGCGUAGAUAUUAGGAAGAACACCAGUGGCGAAGGCGGCCUGCUGGACGACAACUGACGCUGAGGCGCGAAAGUGCGGGUAGCAAACAGGAUUAGAUACCCUGGUA
rnacentral:rRNA from 1 species